rnacentral:RNase_P_RNA from 1 species
GAGGAAAGUCCACCCACCUGCUGAGCGCGCAGCCGUAUGCAAGUACGGGUGGCGAGAGUCACGGCUAUGGCACAGAAACGACACGGCCUGCCCCCAGCCAUGAUGCGAUCGAGUCCAUUCGUGGGCAAUGCGUCCGCUCCCAACAAGCGCGGAUGUCUCGCUGAUGCAUAAGGGUAGGUAGCGACGAAACGGUGAAUCCUGCGGGUGCAAGCCAAAACAGGGCAACAAGGCUGCUCAGUGCCUGCCCGGGUAUGGCGCGUAGCUGAAUUGCCGCACCGACAGAAGCGGGCUUA